CCCUUUGAUACUCUGGGCGGCACGCGCGCUACACUGGUUUAUAUAACGUGUAAUUUGGACGAUAGUCUGUAUAAAUCACUAAUAUAAAACCGUGAAUGGGAUAGUUUAUUGCAACUUACAAACUUUAACUAGGAAUCCCUUGUAGAAGUAGUGAAUUAUACUGCUUCGAAUACGUCCCUGCCGAUUGUACACACCGCCCGUCGUCUCUUCCGACUGGUACUCAUUGUGAAUUGCGAGGAGAUUCUGUCAAAUCGUUGUAAAUGCUGGGUAUUGGAGGAAGAAAAAGUCGUAACA
rnacentral:rRNA from 1 species